GGCCGGGUCGGGAGCGAGGCUGCGGCGAGUGCGGCGCUGACAGAGACGCGCGCGCGCGCGAUCGCGCUCGGACCCCGGCCGCUGCCGCCAUCACUGUCGCCCGCCCAGUCGCCCCUCAGCCGCUUCCCCUCGCUAUGGAGGCGAGGCCGCCGCCGCCGCCGCGGGGCUCGGAGCCGCGGGCCGGGCGGCGGCCCUGAGGGCUAGUGGCGGCCCGAAACGCCGCCGCGGAGCCGAGGCGGAGCCGCUGUCCUCGUCCCCAGCGGUCCCGCCCAACGCCCGACUCUGUGACACAACUAAAAAAAAAGCAAAGGUAUUUAUGGAAUUCCACUGAGUGGUAAUGGAUGAUGCAGUUCAAAUAACUAAGGACACAUGUUCAAAGAGCAUAAUUAACUUUUUAAAAGAAGCUAAUAAGCAUGGAUUCCUGGUUCAUUCUUCUUCUGCUCGGCAGUGGUCUGAUAUGUGUCAGUGCCAACAAUGCUACCACAGUUGCACCUUCUGUAGGAAUUACAAGAUUAAUUAACUCAUCAACAGCAGAACCAGUUAAAGAAGAGGCCAAAACUUCAAAUCCAACUUCUUCACUAACUUCUCUUUCUGUGGCACCAACAUUCAGCCCAAAUAUAACUCUGGGACCCACCUAUUUAACCACUGUCAAUUCUUCAGACUCUGACAAUGGGACCACAAGAACAGCAAGCACCAAUUCUGUAGGCAUUACAGUUUCACCAAAUGGAACGUGGCUUCCAGAUAACCAGUUCACGGAUGCCAGAACAGAACCCUGGGAGGGCAAUUCCAGCACCGCAGCAACCACUCCAGAAACUUUCCCUCCUUCAGAUGAGACACCAAUUAUUGCGGUGAUGGUGGCCCUGUCCUCUCUGCUAGUGAUCGUGUUUAUUAUCAUCGUUUUGUACAUGUUAAGGUUUAAGAAAUACAAGCAAGCUGGGAGCCAUUCCAAUUCUUUCCGCUUAUCCAACGGCCGCACUGAGGAUGUGGAGCCCCAGAGUGUGCCACUUCUGGCCAGAUCCCCAAGCACCAACAGGAAGUACCCACCCCUGCCCGUGGACAAGCUGGAAGAGGAAAUUAACCGGAGAAUGGCAGACGACAAUAAGCUCUUCAGGGAGGAAUUCAACGCUCUCCCUGCAUGUCCUAUCCAGGCCACCUGUGAGGCUGCUUCCAAGGAGGAAAACAAGGAAAAAAAUCGAUAUGUAAACAUCUUGCCUUAUGACCACUCUAGAGUCCACCUGACACCGGUUGAAGGAGUUCCAGAUUCUGAUUACAUCAAUGCUUCAUUCAUCAACGGCUACCAAGAAAAGAACAAAUUCAUUGCUGCACAAGGACCAAAAGAAGAAACGGUGAAUGAUUUCUGGCGGAUGAUCUGGGAACAAAACACAGCCACCAUCGUCAUGGUUACCAACCUGAAGGAGAGAAAGGAGUGCAAGUGCGCCCAGUACUGGCCAGACCAAGGCUGCUGGACCUAUGGGAAUAUUCGGGUGUCUGUAGAGGAUGUGACUGUCCUGGUGGACUACACAGUACGGAAGUUCUGCAUCCAGCAGGUGGGCGACAUGACCAACAGAAAGCCACAGCGCCUCAUCACUCAGUUCCACUUUACCAGCUGGCCAGACUUUGGGGUGCCUUUUACCCCGAUCGGCAUGCUCAAGUUCCUCAAGAAGGUGAAGGCCUGUAACCCUCAGUAUGCAGGGGCCAUCGUGGUCCACUGCAGUGCAGGUGUAGGGCGUACAGGUACCUUUGUCGUCAUUGAUGCCAUGCUGGACAUGAUGCAUACAGAACGGAAGGUGGACGUGUAUGGCUUUGUGAGCCGGAUCCGGGCACAGCGCUGCCAGAUGGUGCAAACCGAUAUGCAGUAUGUCUUCAUAUACCAAGCCCUUCUGGAGCAUUAUCUCUAUGGAGAUACAGAACUGGAAGUGACCUCUCUAGAAACCCACCUGCAGAAAAUUUACAACAAAAUCCCAGGGACCAGCAACAAUGGAUUAGAGGAGGAGUUUAAGAAGUUAACAUCAAUCAAAAUCCAGAAUGACAAGAUGCGGACUGGAAACCUUCCAGCCAACAUGAAGAAGAACCGUGUUUUACAGAUCAUUCCAUAUGAAUUCAACAGAGUGAUCAUUCCAGUUAAGCGGGGCGAAGAGAAUACAGACUAUGUGAACGCAUCCUUUAUUGAUGGCUACCGGCAGAAGGACUCCUAUAUCGCCAGCCAGGGCCCUCUUCUCCACACAAUUGAGGACUUCUGGCGAAUGAUCUGGGAGUGGAAAUCCUGCUCUAUCGUGAUGCUAACAGAACUGGAGGAGAGAGGCCAGACAUUGAACAAAUUCAUUUACCAGAUACUGAGAGCCUACCAUGUGCCAGGCAUUGUGCAAGGUGUGGGGAAUACAGAGAUGAAAAGAGACGCAGCCACUCCCACAAGGAGCUGUAGAGGGAAGUGAGCCAGGUGCAAGCAAAGACAGACAGUAGACCACCUCCUGCUCACUAGCAAGGACAGAAAGGCGAGUGCUAGCAACUUGAAGGUACCUUGCAGAUCAAAGAGAUAAAGGUAAAAGGGAGAAAGGAUACUGUGGCCUGGGCGGUGGUGAAGCCCAUGGCUGUGUGGGAAUGUGAAUUGGUUCUGAUUUUCUGAAUUAGCAGUCUGGCAGAUGUAAGCAGCAUUAACUAUGAAAACACCCCAUGGGAGAAAAAGAUAGGAAUUGGAACGAAGAGUUUCACUCCUCCUCUCCCUCCAGCCACCAAGUAUUGGAUACCCUGUGAGCCUGUAGUCAGAGUUCUUUACAGACCCCGUCAGUGUUUUAGAUGGUCUCUGGUGAGGAUCGGAGGUUAAUUGGAAUGAUGUGAUAUAAUGAUCCUGCAAGUUUUCAAUACCUUAGGGACGAAGUGUAUCAGCAUAAGAGGUGGCUGUACUGAGAGGGGUCAGGCUGCUCGUGGGCAGUGCUGCUUCUACACAUGUGGUACUCUGAGCUCCUCACCUCUCCAACCUGUCUCUCCAGGAGAAGUGUGCCCAGUACUGGCCAUCUGAUGGACUGGUGUCCUAUGGAGAUAUUACAGUGGAACUGAAGAAGGAGGAGGAAUGUGAGAGCUACACCGUCCGAGACCUCCUGGUCACCAACACCAGGGAGAAUAAGAGCCGGCAGAUCCGGCAGUUCCACUUCCAUGGCUGGCCUGAAGUGGGCAUCCCCAGUGACGGAAAGGGCAUGAUCAGCAUCAUCGCCGCCGUGCAGAAGCAGCAGCAGCAGUCAGGGAACCACCCCAUCACCGUGCACUGCAGCGCUGGGGCAGGAAGGACGGGGACCUUCUGUGCCCUGAGCACCGUCCUGGAGCGUGUGAAAGCAGAGGGGAUUUUGGAUGUCUUCCAGACUGUCAAGAGCCUGCGGCUACAGAGGCCACACAUGGUCCAGACACUGGAACAGUAUGAGUUCUGCUACAAGGUGGUGCAGGAAUAUAUUGAUGCAUUCUCAGAUUAUGCCAACUUCAAGUAAGCGGCAACAAGGGUCCGUGGACCAGGAGGAUUGCCUUUAAUAUUUUGUAAUAUUCUGUUUUGUUAAUAUACCCCAAAUUGUGUAUAUAUCUUAUAACUGUUUUAGAAAUUGGUACAUAGGCUUCUAUUACCUAUUAGGUGGAAAUUUUAUAUGUAAAUGUGUUAGCACUGAUAGUCCUUUUUCCAAUGUUUUAUUGGGGAAUUAAAUAGUGUGAUGUUUGGAUUGA